rnacentral:rRNA from 1 species
AACGACUCUCGGCAACGGAUAUCUCGGCUCUCGCAUCGAUGAAGAACGUAGCGAAAUGCGAUACUUGGUGUGAAUUGCAGAAUCCCGUGAACCAUCGAGUCCUUUGAACGCAAGUUGCGCCCGAAGCCAUUAGGCCGAGGGCACGCCUGCCUGGG